UACCUGCAGCUCAAGUAGUGAUCGCUAUUAUUGGGCCUAAAACGUUCGUAGCCGGUUUGGUAAAUGCCUGGGUAAAUAGUGUAGCUUAACUAUACGAAUUCCGGGUAGACUGUCAAACUUGAGACCGGGAGAAGCUAGAGGUACUCCUGGGGUAGAGGUGAAAUUCUGUAAUCCUGAGGGGACCACCAGUGGCGAAGGCGUCUAGCUAGAACGGGUCUGACGGUGAGGAACGAAGCCCUGGGGCGCGAACCGGAUUAGAUACCCGGGUAGUCCAGGGUGUAAACGCUGCUUGCUUGAUGUUAGUUGGGCUCCGAGCCCAAUUAGUGUCGGAGAGAAGUUGUUAAGCAAGCUGCCUGGGAAGUACGAUCGCAAGAUUGAAACUUAAAGGAAUUGGCGGGGGAGCACCACAAGGGGUGAAGCCUGCGGUUU
rnacentral:rRNA from 1 species